AGAAAAGCUUAGACAUUCAUAGGAAUAAGACCUCCAGCUAUUUAUGGGUUGAUUACAAGCUCAGUAUGAUUCAAUUGAUGAUUAGAUAGUAGACAUCACCUGUUACGAUUGGAGCCCUGUGGCCAAGAGGACGCCUGUGAACUAUUUCACCUGAUUAGGCCACGCUGGGAUUUUUUGCUUGGGUGAGAGGUCGUGCUUCCCCAGGACACGGGCAGCAGCCUGGAGAGAGGAGUCUCAGAGGGUAACCCUGCUCUUCUCAAAUAUGGAAAGCUCCUAUGUGGAAGGGCAGUGAGUGGGAUUUAUCUUUUUCUGGGGAUUCCAGAUGGCAGAAAAUUAGGCCCACACUGCUGAGCGGGAUUUGAGUGUGAGAAUCCAAGUACAGAAGCUGAAUUUGGGAAAAUAGUCUUGCUAAAGAAAGUGGCAGAUUUUCCCAAUUCCACAUUUUGGAAGUAUCAAGAGCUGUUUCAUGAGAUAAGCUGGCGAGAGGAAAUAGACUACUCUGGUAGGAAACUAGAGCAGGUGGGCAGGAGUGACUUUCCUCUUCUCUUCCUGUUCCUCACACCCACCAGACCCGAGGUCCCCUGCCCGUCUGUUCUCUGCAGCCCCCACUGAAGCCUCAAAGUCCUUGCAAACGUUGCAAUAUCCUGCCUUCCUUCUUCCUUCCUAAAGGCUCCAGCUUUUCUGGGCCAUACCUUUCCAUCUCCGCUACCCCAUCCCCACCUCCUUUAUAAGGCUGUUCCACUCAGGGCUGCUGUUGGCCUUUCUUAGUUACCCCAGGGCCAGGUGACAGACAAAAGCCCCAGUCAAUACUCCAGACCCUGCUGAAAUUACUCAAACUAGCUCAUCCUAAGCCCCUUGUGGUAUGUCAUGCCUCCUGCUUCCAGGGAACUGUGAGCUUAAACUUCUUCCAUUAUGACAGUCAUUUCUGUGUCUGUGUCUGUUGUAAACAAAUCCUGGGUAUAAUUAAAAUACCAUGCAUCAAACUCCAAGAAAAACCAGGAUUCAUCCUCUUCUGUGCUUUUACUGAGCACUGGUCAGAUCCUACUUUGCACUUAGUUGGUAUGAUCUAAGCUUCUCUAUCUAUUUCUCCUGCUAAUCUGCCUGCAAGCCCCUCACCAGAGGUGAUACCGUUUUAUACACCUCACUCUUAACAUACUGUCAGCACAAGUGGACGUUUGAUAAGUGUUUACUGAAUCUGAAAUGAGAUUUAUGUUGGAGGAGGUGCUCACAAAUUUAUUUCACCUCUGAUCAUUAUAUCAUUCCCUGUUUGUAGUAACAACUUAACUAAAUUAUUACGAAGAGGUUAAGUAUUUGUUGGGCACCUACUGUAUCCCAGGACCUCAAAUUUCCUUUACACUAAAGAAAUAAAACUAUGAUUUGCUUCCAAGUAUUGUCCUAUCAGGCCCUCAAUCCUCCAAAACGGGAAUAAGAUCCAACCUAUUUCUGUGUUUGAGAAUUCAUCCUGACCCAUGUAAACAGUCUGCAGUGAUUCCCAGCAGAAACUAGAAUAUGAGUGUAGAACACGAUCUUUUAUUUAUUUCAUAUGUAACAUCUGAAAAGUUAAUUUUUUUCCCUGCAAACAAUGCCCAGCAGCAGAAUGAAGUUUGAGAUCAUCCCAAAAGAUGUAUGUCUGCACCACAUUUUUCUUGACAGGAGAAAAAGUGACAAGAGCUAAUUAAAGGAAAACAGAAUGUUCUUUUUUGAUGGCCCAACAGACAAUUCUUUUC
rnacentral:lncRNA from 1 species